UACGUAGGGUGCAAGCGUUGUCCGGAAUUAUUGGGCGUAAAGAGCUCGUAGGCGGUCCGUCACGUCGGCUGUGAAAACCCGGGGCUCAACCCCGGGCCUGCAGUCGAUACGGGCGGACUAGAGUUCGGCAGGGGAGACUGGAAUUCCUGGUGUAGCGGUGAAAUGCGCAGAUAUCAGGAGGAACACCGGUGGCGAAGGCGGGUCUCUGGGCAGUGAACUGCGCUGAGGAGCGAAGCGUGGGGAGCGAACAGG
rnacentral:rRNA from 1 species